rnacentral:piRNA from 1 species
ACUGGAGGAGAACCAAGCUGGGCCUGU